UAAGGAUCGAUUUACACGGGGCUUCAAUCCAAGGGAGACAGUGGAGGGCAAUGACGAGGGAGGCAUAUGGCCGGCUUCACUGAACAAGAGGAAAGUAAAGAAAAACCAUGAACGCUCAUAGCGAUGAUAGCAGGAAGAAACCCCUAAACAAGGACUCUCCAAUUCGAUGGGUGCAGCUGGACCGGACCCUACAUUGUAAAUGUGCGGCUGUCCCGUUGUUCAGAUCAGAUGGUCAGGGCGUGGUAUGGGUCCAUGCACACAUGCCCGAAGAUUGAUGCCAUGUCGACGGCGACCAGUGAGCCCCCAUUGCAAGCGAGGCAGCCAGGCAGGCAGCAGCGUCCUUGAAUUGAGAUGGAUCAGAGAAGCCGAUGUGAGCGGCAGCCAGGCGGCCGGGGUCUUGCGAGCCGAGCACGUUCAGGUGGGCUGGGGUUCUAGACGGUGUACGUGUGGCCGAGGCAACUGGAUUUGCGAACAGAUUUGGAGUCUGAAAGGCGUCAUUGGGGGUCCAGAUCGGUUGGAACGAAGAAGGCAGCUUUCUGAUUCUGCGGUGUGUGCCUUCUUGAUCAGGGGUGUUUGUUGCGGCCAUGGCAUGCCUGCCUGACCGAGUCUGCCUUGGCGUGCUCCAAGGGGAAGAAAGAUUUCGUGGCAAUAUGAGGUGGCCGCCGCCGCCGUCGUCAUCGUUGUGGGAGAAAAUUGAACUGUACUAUACUACUGUACACUCCGCCGGCGAUGGUGCAAAUUUCGAGGUGGAGUCUCGCAUGUUUCCGAGAAGGAAGGUAUUGGUGCGGAACAAGAACAAUAAACUCAAAAGUGUUCAUCAAUUGGGUAAAUCCAAUGCCAUUCUUUCGCUCAUUUAUGAGGCUGAUGACUACUAGUAGUCCGGACCUGAGUUGGAUGGAUCUUGCCGCCAUUGAUGUACUAUACUAUCACGCAAGAUCGUUUGACCCUUUCCGAGCUUAUUAAAUUGAUACACGGUUGAAGUCAGUGAAAGUCAUAUGGCGCAGGUGGAACGAACGUUUCAAAGUGAGGUCAAUGCCCAAUCCACGCCACUAUUUGGGGGGAAACUCGGAAUGAGAGGCGACAGAUGCAUUGGACGAUUUGAGGAGAAAUUUAGGGGGGUUUUGGUUUGACGAAUGACAUCAUCUCGUGAAUCUCGUUGAGAUGAAACCAUCAGCUUGUGGUGGAUCAUCCUCUACUAUUCCUCGGGAACGGAAUCCGAGCUAUUCUUCUGGGAAUUUGAAUUCCACGUUUUUAGCUGGAUAUCAUUUCCACAA